AUGCAGUCGACGAUGAAGCCCUUCGGGGUGGAUUAGUGGCGAACGGGUGAGUAACACGUGGGAAUCUGCCCUUCACUCUGGGACAAGCCCUGGAAACGGGGUCUAAUACCGGAUAUGACCAUCUUGGGCAUCCUUGAUGGUGUAAAGCUCCGGCGGUGAAGGAUGAGCCCGCGGCCUAUCAGCUUGUUGGUGAGGUAAUGGCUCACCAAGGCGACGACGGGUAGCCGGCCUGAGAGGGCGACCGGCCACACUGGGACUGAGACACGGCCCAGACUCCUACGGGAGGCAGCAGUGGGGAAUAUUGCACAAUGGGCGAAAGCCUGAUGCAGCGACGCCGCGUGAGGGAUGACGGCCUUCGGGUUGUAAACCUCUUUCAGCAGGGAAGAAGCGAGAGUGACGGUACCUGCAGAAGAAGCGCCGGCUAACUACGUGCCAGCAGCCGCGGUAAUACGUAGGGCGCAAGCGUUGUCCGGAAUUAUUGGGCGUAAAGAGCUCGUAGGCGGCUUGUCACGUCGGGUGUGAAAGCCCGGGGCUUAACCCCGGGUCUGCAUUCGAUACGGGCUAGCUAGAGUGUGGUAGGGGAGAUCGGAAUUCCUGGUGUAGCGGUGAAAUGCGCAGAUAUCAGGAGGAACACCGGUGGCGAAGGCGGAUCUCUGGGCCAUUACUGACGCUGAGGAGCGAAAGCGUGGGGAGCGAACAGGAUUAGAUACCCUGGUAGUCCACGCCGUAAACGGUGGGAACUAGGUGUUGGCGACAUUCCACGUCGUCGGUGCCGCAGCUAACGCAUUAAGUUCCCCGCCUGGGGAGUACGGCCGCAAGGCUAAAACUCAAAGGAAUUGACGGG
rnacentral:rRNA from 1 species